rnacentral:tRNA from 1 species
CCAAUAGGGCUGCUAUUGCAGGUUACUUUGAUAUAGUAAAUUUAGGACUUGUGUUUCGUUGGU